GGAGAGAUGCCAGAGUGGCCGAAUGGGCUCGCUUGGAAAGCGUGUAGACUGGUAACGGUCUCGAGGGUUCGAAUCCCUCUCUCUCCGCCA
rnacentral:tRNA from 2 species